GCCUGUCCAGCAAGGUCAGCCGUGGGCUGGCCUGAUUGCUUCAACAUUCUAAUCAACCAAAAGCCAAAGAGGUCAUGCCGUUUUCAAGGAGUCAUGCUCCAGUGAAACACACCUGACAUGAAAAUGCUACCCAGUGAGGCUCAUCCAUGCUGAUCCAGUUGCCGCCUAAGAAUCAGUGUUGAUUCCCCAGCUCCCCAUCGGAAGGUACCACAGUGACCUCCGGGCAGGGCUGCUGUUAGCUCCAGCCCCCAGGGAAGCCCCACACAACAGCAGACCACAGAUGUGUACACAGCUCUACUGCCCCCAAAAGAGCUAAAUGGGUCUGCCCUACAACAAACCUUUCUCUGCAGCCAUCACCGUGCUGGUCCUGAGGUCCGCCUACUCCCAGUGCCUCAUCCUGGCGCCUGCACAGACUCGCCCAGCGCACGUGUCCUCACUGAGCACCACCACGUGCCCAGAAAGCUCCCCAUGGCAGAGGAGAGCAGGACAGGCCCAGUUCCUGCGAGCGUGCAAGGAAGCAGGAUGGACAAGAAGCAAGCGA